AGCUUUACGCUUUUAUCUAAAGUACAUCCUGCUCAGUGAACCCCUAAACAGCCGCAGAAUUUUAUACUGUGCUAAGGUAGCAUAAUCACUUGUCUUUUAAUUAAAGAAUAGAAUGAACGGAAACCCGAAUUUUAGCCUGUUUCAUUUCUAAAUGAUAAAAUUACCAAAAAGUAAAAACACUUUUCUCAAAAAAAAAGACGAUAAGACCCUACAGAACUUUACUAUAGUUUAGCUGGGGCGGCUUUUUAAAAAAAUCUUAAUGAAACUCUUUUUAACCUACUUAUAUUUUUAAAGUUACCUUAGGGAUAACAGCAUAAUGUAAUUUUAUAGCUCAUAUAAAAAAUUACGAUUAUGACCUCGAUGUUGAAUUAAACCUCUUCUAAGCGAAAAAAAUUAGCAAGAAAGUCUGUUCGACUUGUAAAAAUUUACAUGAUUUGAGUUCAGACCGGUGAAAACCAGGUCGGUUUCUAUCUUUUUUAAAUAUGUACCAGUACGAAAGGACCGUACAACUUACUAAAAAU
rnacentral:rRNA from 1 species